UCGCGCCAGCGUUUUCGCGGGGAGAGGAAGCUACACUGGGAGAGUCAGAGAGAAAGAAAAUACGUAAACUAUUUGCUGAAAUAAGAUAAUAUCGCGUAUACUUGCAGUAUAUUAUUGGCGUUGAUGGUAUCAUUUUCUUUUAUCGUUUGUGUUCUUUCAGGAAUUGCAAGCAGGGUUUGAGUGAGAAACCAGGAUGAUGGCGAUGGUGCCUCCUACCAGCUCAGGUCUCCUUCCUCUGCUGGAAUCUCUGGAGGAUAGCACAGCUGGACAACCGGAGCAGACUGAAGCCUACCUCACUAUUGCCAAUCGUCUCAGUGGAGAUGAUGGAACGCAAUUCCUCCCUGCAGUAGUAAAGCACUUUCCACGUUUGGGUAAAACUUUCCAGACCCAUAUCUCCAGUCAGAAUGCAGAGCUGAGCCAAGCUGCCCUGCAGGCCCUGGGGUUCUGUGUGUUUCAUGUCCACGUUGUCUCUGCUAUCUCAGCUAAUUUUGCAGAGGAGAUAUUGUCAGCACUUUCCUCUCUGGUGGUGAAGUCCACAGACAAGAACACAUGCACACGAGCAUUAUGGGUAAUUUCCAAACAGAACUUCCCUACAGAGGUGGUGGCCAAGAAGGUUCCAGAGAUCCUGAGGGCCCUGGAGUGUGUGCGGACGAGAGAAGACAUCCAGUCUGUAGUUAUGGAGCACGAGUCUCUGAAUGUUGUCAUAAGUUUGUUGGAGCAGGCCUCGGCCCAGAUGGGUGAGGAUGCAGUACAGUGGGCCAAGCUGGUCAUCCCCCUGGUGGUCCACUCUGCCUCUAAGGUGCGCCUGCGGGCGGCAGCAGCCCUGGAGAUGGGCCUGCCUCUACUUCUGGAGAAACAGAAGGAGGUGGCUGCCAUCCUAGAACCUCUCAUGUCCUCAAAACUCAUCCCAGAGCUCCAGAAACUGUUCUCCACGAAGAACGAGACCAACGUGCUGAAACUCUGGCCGUUGUUUGUCAGGCUCCUGGGGAAGCUGCUCCAUAGAGGUGGUCCCUUCAUCAACUCCCUGCUUGGCCUGGAGGAACUGGGCUUCCGUAGCUCCUCCCCAAACAUCAAGAAAAUCGCCUUCAUCGCUUGGAAGAGCCUUAUUGACAAUUUCGCGCUCAACCCAGAGAUCCUGUGCAGUGCCAAGCGUCUAAAGUUGCUGCUGCAGCCCCUCAGCUCCAUCCAGGUGAGGACUGAGGCCCUGCUGCUCACCAAGCUGGAGGUCUGGUGGUACCUGGUGGUCAAACUGGGAGCCAACCUGCCCGCACAUUUUGAACAGGUUGGUGUUCCUCUCCUCCAGUGCACCCUGGGCCCGGACUCGGCCCUGCCAGCCACUCCUUCCAGGAGCUCCAGCCAGUGCAGUGCUGUGGGGACCACUACUCCUAAAUCUGGUUCCCCAGCGUUCUCUGGCACUAUUGUGCCCCGUCUGAACCUAAACACCAGUGUGGUGGUGGCCCAAGCCUACCCCUCCAUCCAGCUGCUGGGACUAGAGAUGUUGUUGCACUACUUCCUGGGGUCAGAAGUCACAACCGCCGCAGCCAAGAACAAGCUGACGCUCAGCCUGGAACCUAUUUCUCACCCCUUCCUGUCCAGCCCCUUCUCCUUCACCAAGCACGCCCCUCUGCUGAUCACUGCUGUGCACGACAGCUUCAUCUGCAUCGGCAAAGACGCCCCAGAUGCCUUGCUUUCCCUUAUAUGGAAGAACCUCGUCAGUUUCGUAAGCACAACGAUUGAUGCUGCAGGCAAUAAGAAGGACAGGCAAGGCUCUGAGGUGCUGACCUUGCUGCUACAGGCUCUACAGAGCAUCAUCUCCUCAGAGGCCCUCCCUGCAAACAGGGCUCUGGGUCUGCUGGAAUUGACAGUGAAGGGUAUCCCUCAGAGAGUACUGGGAUCUGCCUCUUACCAAGUGGGCAAAAUGGAUGUACUGAAUGGAACCCCAGCUCUGUUCUUGAUUCUCCUGUUCUACAACCACAGUCUGGUGGCAGGCUUCGUAGAGGAUGAGAGGUUCUUCCUGUGUUUGGAGACACUGGUGAGCUGUGGUCUGUCCGGCCCCACGUCCCCCCUGGCAUUUGGGGAGGCGGUCCUGGCGGCGGUUGGUUGCAGCGCGGGGACUCUGGAGAACAAAGAACAGCUUUGGAGGAUGUGGAGCCUGGUGGUCAACCCGCUGACUGACACCAUCACACAGACCAAUGAGGUGAACCAAGGGGAUGCUCUGGAGCACAACUUCAGUGCUGUGCUCACUGCCCUGAUGUUCCCCAUCAUACACCUGCUACCUGGCAAGGUUCUGCCACAGAUGACUCAGAAGGCCAUGCUGGGUACGUGGUGCGGGCUGUAUAAGGUGUUUGCCCGCUGCUCUGCCCUGGUGGCCACUGCCGAGGAGAACGUCUGCUGUGAGGAGCUGUGUGUCAAGAUGGCUGCCAUAUUGGACAGAAAGGCUCUGAAGGUUCCAGCAACGUUGCAUGCGGUUGCUAACAUCCUCCUGGUCAUCGCUGAGAGUGCAGACUUCUCUCCCUACACACCACAGUUCCAGCAGAAGAUGAAAUCUCCCCACAACCAUCUAACCUGGGUGCGUAAGAAAAGCAAGGCGCUGGGGAACCUGUAUACCUUCCAGACCCUGCUGGUUCAAUCCCUUGAGACCUUCAAUGCACUGGAGGCCCCUGAGACUGCCCCUAAUGGUACAGGCCUAGCCCUGGUCUCCAUCCUCUCUAUCUUGUUCUCUAAUCUGUCUCUGGGUACAGCCAUCCAGGAGGCCCUGGCCUCUCUCUCACAUCCCCUCGUAGCCCUCUAUGAACAGGCUGGGAGGACUCCAAAUGAGCAGCGCAAAUGUACCUCAAGUCUUGGAGCAAAGCUGGAGAAGCUCCUGAGUGAUGUCUUGGGGUGCCUGCAGAUCCGUUCAGCCCUGGCCUAUGAUGAUGAGCUGCUCUCCCUGCUGUCCCCCUUGCUCUGUGUCCUGUUCCUCCAUCGGCGCAAGCAGGUCCGCUCCUUAGCUACACAGUUCUGGAAUGCAACCUUCGCCAACACUCUGGUCCUCGUUUAUCCAGAGGAACUCAAGCCGGUGUUGAGCCAGGUGAAGCAGAACACUCCUAUCAUUCUACCUGGAUUUCAGUCUGUUGAAGUUCCAGAUGAACUCAGUGGACAGUACUCGAGUGAGAGCUCUCAGCUGGAGACCAAACUGAGUGGAGUACAGGUCACUUCUGGGGUGAAGAGGGACUCUCUACUGCCCAGGGCUGAGGAGAUAAAGGACAGGAACUCCAGGACCUCUACCAAGCCCGUCUCUACAAAACUUGACUUUGGUUCUCACAAGCUGCCUCGUAGAGAGGAACUGGAGGAGCAGGCCUCAAUAGACUUUGUGUUCAUCCCCCCUGAGACCAAGGAGAGAGUUCUCACUGAGCACCAGAAAGAGGUCAAGAGAACCAAAAGGGUUGACAUCCCUGCCAUGUACAACAACCUGGAUGCUUCCCUUGAUACCACAGUCUUCACCCAGUACACACAGAGUCAGGAGGAAUCACUGGACAAAUUACCAGCAGAUGAGCAAGCCGGAGAUGCCGCUAAAGAUGAGGUCAAAGCAGAGGGUAACGUGGAACGGGAUGAAGCUUCUGAGGUUUUGGCAAAAGACACCCAGGAAUAUAUCAGUCCAACCAAUGAGAUGGCAGAACCCCCAAUGGAAGAGGAGCCUCCUGUGGAAGCACUUCCUGAUUCUGCAGACGUUUCCAUGGAGGAUGCCAACGAAGAUGUUCCAUUGGAGGACUCCGAUGUUGCCAUGGAGUCUAGAGAAGAGGGCACCAGUCCAAUUGUUUCUGGCGGCUCUGAUAUCAUCUCGGGGACACCUAAGAAACACAACAGUCGUCGCCAGUCCUUCAUCACUCUGGAGAAGUAUGCUGAGGGGAAGCCUGCUAGUCCUGCCAGCGUGGUGAAGUUUACAGGCCCCCUCACCAGGACCUUGAACAGUCAGGAGCAGGAGCCUGCCUCUCAGAAACCAUCGGCAGAGAUUGAGGAUGACACAGACCGACAGGACUCCCAGGAGACUGAACAAGUAAGACACAAAAGCGCCAGGAAUGAGUCUUUCCUAAAGGAGGGAGAGGAACACGAAUCUUCAGAAAACAAAAAGGAAUCUGAAGUUGAGAUAAUCGCUGAGAAACAGUCAAGUGAAACCACAGAGGACGAUGUCAUCCCAGACACCCAGACUCAGGUGGAAGUACUGAAGGAAGUUCCAGUUCCUGCAGUUGAAGAAGUAAUGGGAAACAACAGUCAGGAAGAAGAGGAAUCUAAAGGUCUUUUGGAAGAUUCUACCAGCUCCCAGUCCACUCUGAGCCAAGGUGAACCAAGGCGGUCCGGACGGCGGAGGAGUAGGCCACUGAGACCAGGAGAGGACACAGAGGAACGAGAUGAUCUAGACAAACGGAGGAAGAAGUCUCAACCUGGAGAGGAUGUGAGUCAAACUGAUUCACCAAAGACUACUCCCUCUCUUGCCAGUCCAAAUGAUAGUCAGUCACAACGUAGAGCCAGUAGGAGAAGUAAGCUGGCUGUUGAGGAGGAUGGUGGAAAAGACAAGCUGAGAAAGAGAAGUCACAAGGAGUUGAGUCAAUCAAAUUCCAAGCUUGCCACACCUUCACCUGCUGGUGAUAGCAACAGCCUAUCACAGGGUUGGAGGAGCAACAAAUUGGUCAGGGAAUCAGAGGAGCUGGUAAAAGACAAACGGAAGAGGAGAGGUGUUGCAAAGGAAGAGCUCAGUCAAAGUGACUCCCUAACGGUCACUGCCUCUGAUAAUGAUAGCCAAUCACAGAGUAGACGUAAUCAGAGGAGUAAGCUGGCUGUGGAAGUAGAGGAUGAUGGCAAUCAGAAACGAAAGGGUGGUAGGGCUCAGAAGGAGAAGCCAAGUCAAGCAAAUUCACAUGUAGCCAAACCAUCUCAACUAGAGAGUCAGUCCCAGGGUAGAACAAGCAGGAGCAAGGCCGUCAGUGAUUCGGAGGAGUUUGAUCUCCCAGACAAGGUUGAAAAGCAGGAUCCUACUGAGGAGGAGCAAAGCCAACGUGAUUCUCAGAUGGCCACACUAUCUCCUGCUGCUCAAACAGGAGAUGAACAAUCACAGGGUAUAUCAAGCGGGAGGAGUAAAUUGGUCACACAGUCCGAAGAACAGGGUAAAGACAAACAGAGGAGAGUUGGCACGGAAAACACACUCAGUCAAAUUGACUCCAAGAUCACCACACCUUCAGCCACUCCAAAAGAUAGCCAGUCACAGGGUAGAGCAAGCAGGAAAAGCAAGGUGCCCCUUGAAGUGGCUAAGUUGGAGGACAAAACAAGUCCAAAUGUGGCCACUGAUUCAGCAGCAGCACCCGAGAUGAGCCAGACUGAUUCUCAGGUCACUCCUUCCGCCACCAGACAAACAGACAGCCAGCCGAGGCUCAGAGGAAGAUCCAGUAAGAGAAGCAAGUUAGAGGAACAGUUGAAGCCCAGCAGCAGCCCUAUGCCAACCCCUACCAUAGAGACUCAUAGCUCACAGGUGGCAGACCAGGCUGGAACACAGGAAUCCCCCCAAGGAAGCAGAAGGACUACGAGACGGAGAGCUUCUCAGGGCUUACUGUCCUCCAACGUGGAGGAGUCAGACACUUCAGAGACCCGGGAGGAUGCCCAGAAACCCAAGAAGAGAGGCAGGAAUCCCAAAUCCACCGAAGCUCUUCAAAGCCCACUUGCUACUGUUGGAUCAGGAGAGCCAGGGGCUUACCUAGAGAUCCCAAUGGAUCUUUCUGAAUCUUCUCUAAAGUCUGAAUCUGAAAAGUCAGACUUGCAAAACCCAUUGAGUGAGGCCUUAGAAGUUAAGAUUCCUCAGGAUGUGGAUGAAACCAUUAAAAGUAUCAACUCCCUUAAACCUGUUAUGGAUGUUCUGAAACUUCCUCUGAUAACAAAGAACAAUAUGGGGCAAAGGGAGGAAAACACUGAGAUGGUAGAUAUAGAGGGUGAGUGUGAGAAUACCAAGCUGCCUUCUCAAUUGAUCGACUCUUCAUUCAAAUCUGAUCUAGAACAACUUAAGAUUCAGCAUUUUUGCAUAUCCCCACGGAAGAACCUCAAAACAGUCUCUUCUCAGGAAGGUGUCCAUAGUGACUUUGGGUGUGAAGGGCCAACACAGCUCCAAAAUAAGCUCCUCACUGACUCUGAGCAGGCCUACUCUCCAGUGCCUUCCGCUGAUGGAAAUUCAUUCUCGGGAUAUGAAAGUGUAUUACUUGAACCAAACAAACUAUGCACCCCUCCCAUCUCCAAUGGUCUCCCCACAGAUACUUCACCCAGCGAAGCUGCAGAGGAGAAACUGAGCCUGAUUCUUCAGGUUGCUGAGUCUUCAGGGGAGAAGCUUGUAGAUGUGCCGAAGCCUGUGACUGUGUCCAGUGAGGAGGUGACAGAGGAGCAGAUGGGAGAAGACAAGGAGAACCGACAUCCAGAGUCUACUAACAAUGUUCUAGAGGAGGACCAACCAGAAGAGGAUGUUUUCAUGUCUAUUGUGCAUACCCAACCAGAGGGUUUCAAUGCCUUAGAUGAGGAGCAACAGGAGGAGCAGUACACAUGUAUUAAAGAAGGCCAGCCAGAAUCUGACAACACCUCUACUAGGACCAGAGAAAAUGACACAGAGCCUCAGGCAAACGACAUUCAAGAUAUCACUCCUCUCCAAGAGAGGGCAAAAAUGGAUACGGUUCCAAGUCUUGAGUGUGAAGAAGAGGACGGUGAAGAAACUCGGCUAGACAAUAAUGACCUAACUCUACAUCCUCUAGACUCUGUUGCCCCUCUGACCUUCGACACUUGCGAAGCACCAGUGCCUCUACAUCAUCCAAGUACUUCUAAAGACGUGUUGUGCCAAGACUCGCCUCCCAAGCAGAAGGGUUUGGAGGCUAUGAUGGGUUUGGAGGUGGGCCAGAGCCCCAGCAGUGGCAGGAUCAGGGGAAUGUGGACCCCCUCAGCCUCCCCCUCCACCUCUAUACUGAAGAAGGGACAGAAAAGAUCAAUAGAAGAGGAGAGUUCUUCACCUUUCACUAAGUCUCGACGAGUAUCAUUUGCCGACCCAAUCCAACACCAGGAGCUGGCAGAUGACAUUGACCGUCGCAGCCCUGUCAUCCGAUCCAGCUCCCCAAGAGCCAAAACUGCCAGCAGUAGCAUCACUCAGCCUAAGUAUAUCACAACACCAACAAAGGGUCUAAUGAUCCUUAGUCCACGCAAUCUCUGCAGCCCGGGGUACAAGAGCUCCAAGAAAUGCCUGGUAUGUUUCCCCAGCUAGACAGAUCUCAGAGAUGAGCCAGGAGCCGAGGCCCAUCCCUAAGGACUGUGUGUACCCGGCCCUGGUCAGCUGUUCUACGCCUGUGGAGGCGGUACUGCCUCAGAUCACCUCCAACAUGUGGCCUCGUGGUUUUGGUCAUCUUGUGCGUGCCCGUAAUAUCAAAACGGUUGGAGACCUCAGUGCUCUCACACCCAGCGAAAUCAAGAACCUUCCCAUUCGCUCCCCAAAGAUCUCUAAUGUGAAGACAGCACUUAAAACAUACCACGAACAGCAGCGGAAGGGCCGUAGUGAUGAGUUGAAGAGUUUUGAAGAGAUGGAGAACAUGACAUCAGAGCUGGAGGAGCCAACCCUUCCUCAGAACCAGGAAGAGGAGGACAAGACUCCUGGAGAGGCCCUCGCCACAGAGAUGUUGGAUGAGCAGGGUCCAGAGGAGAGGCCUGACCACCAGAGGCCUGAGGGGGAUCUUCUGUUGGAGGUGGAGUCCCUGGGAGCUCGUCUAGCUGGGGAGGAACUGAGCCGCUGCUCCCCUGACCAGCUUGUUCAGCUCCAUGAUCAGCUGGGAGGGAUGAUGAAGAAUGUAGUGGUGCAGCUGCAGAGCAGACUACUUUCUCAGAACAAGGACAGCGGACCCUGAUCCAAACGGUCUACGGGGUUUGGAUUGCAUUUCUUGGGAAUGCCCGACGUGACGUCAAUUGAGGGUGCCUAUUGACAUUUGUGGAGGGCGGAACGUUGGUGUUUUUAGAGAUCUUAUAGAGCUUUUUUUUUUUAUAUGGGUGGCCAGGCCCCUCAGCCCCCAUGGACUUCGAACCUGAACACUCCAAUGGCUGUUUUUCCUAUUACACUCUUAACAAUUAAUCAGGACUGUGCUACAUGUUUUUAACUACUGUUGUCUUUGGCCUUUGUCCAUGUCCUCUGAUAGGUGAGGGAGGUAUUUUAUAAAUGCUCACUACUUUACUUUUCUUUUUAGCCUGAAAGGUUGGGUGAUGAUGAUGAUUAACUGUUGCUAUGGUACGAGUGAAAGGGAAGCACGGUCUCUGAUUGGCUGUUCCAAGACUUUGCCAUGAAUUGACUUUUUAGCAAUAAAUACUGGCUAGGAAGGUGGCACUUUUUACAUUUUGCGUUCUUAAAUAAAGGAUGAGAACUUAUGAGGGUG